UACAGAGGUCCCAAGCGUUGUUCGGAUUCACUGGGCGUAAAGGGUGCGCAGGUGGGUUUGCAAGUUCGAUGUGAAAGCCCCGGGCUUAACCCGGGAAUGGCAUUGGAUACUGCAGAUCUGGAGGAUCGGAGGGGGGACUGGAAUACUUGGUGUAGCAGUGAAAUGCGUAGAUAUCAAGUGGAACACCAGUGGCGAAGGCGAGUCCCUGGACAACACCUGACACUGAGGCACGAAAGCUAGGGGAGCAAACAGG
rnacentral:rRNA from 1 species